AGCGGCGGACGGGUGAGUAAACGUGGGUAACCUGCCUGUAAGUCUGGGAUAACUCCGGGAAACCGGGGCUAAUACCGGAUGCUUGAUUGAACCGCAUGGUUCAAUUAUAAAAGGUGGCUUUUAGCUACCACUUACAGAUGGACCCGCGGCGCAUUAGCUAGUUGGUGAGGUAACGGCUCACCAAGGCAACGAUGCGUAGCCGACCUGAGA
rnacentral:rRNA from 1 species